rnacentral:SRP_RNA from 1 species
GGGUAAGUCCUACACGACCAGCACGCCCCGAACUCCGCCAGGUCUUGAUCGAAGCAACGGUAGGGAGCUGAGCGGUGCGAUGUAGACAGCUUACCCUUU